rnacentral:rRNA from 1 species
UACAGAGGGUGCGAGCGUUAAUCGGAAUUACUGGGCGUAAAGCGUGCGCAGACGGUCAUGUAAGUCGGGUGUGAAAGCCCCGGGCUCAACCUGGGGGCUGCAUUUGAUACGUGUGGACUAGAGUGGGGAAGAGGGUCGUGGAAUUCCCAGUGUAGAGGUGAAAUUCGUAGAUAUCGGGAGGAACACCGGUGGCGAAGGCGGCGAUCUGGGUCGAUACUGACGCUGAGGUGCGAAAGCGUGGGGAGCAAACGGG